rnacentral:lncRNA from 1 species
GCAAAGAAAAGAAUGUAAAGGCAGCCUGAGACUAAGCCUUCGAGCAGCAGUGCAGUGUUUAAACCAGAGGGGCCACAUGAGAGGCCCCCGCUGAGGACAGGUACCCUGUCCUGGUGUGUCCUUAUAGAUACAGCGACAUUGUAAGUGUGGGCUUGUGCCUUUUCCUGGGGUGUAGAACCACCCAGAGCGUCGCUGAAGGUUAAAGACCCAUUGGCAUAGCUUGGGUGUUGAGGGCUGGGCGGAGGGAAAAAGCUCGUAAAGGCGUGGUCAGAAGUGGGAAGGACAUUGGAGCAGUGUCCGUGUCUAAGAGUCUGUGAGGGGAGAGAGAGUGGUCAGAGCAAAUUUGGCUGAGUUUGAGACAGAGACUGGGGGGUCAGUGGUCACCAUUCCCCAGGGCUGAUGAGUGGCAGGGAGUUUGGGGGAGGCUCUGAAGGAAAGGGGUGGAGAGGCACAUGGGGUUGAGGGGCAGCUCUGUGCUGCCUUCAUUUAAUUUAAUUCGUUAAUUUUUUUGGCUGUGCCUGAGGCAUGUGGAAUUUCCCCGGCCAGGGGUUGAACCCAUGCCACAACAGCGACCCAAACAGCUGCAGUGACAAUGCUGGAUCUUUAACCUGCUGUGCCACGCAAAAACUCCUGCUCUGCCUUGGUUUUAGAUGGAGUAGCUGGAGCCUUGUCAGGUGUUGAGAGCAAGGAGCUCCCGUGGAGGGGAGGGGGAGUGUCAGUAAAACGCUUGUUCCAGGCUGAGUAGUGCCAGAGAGCAGCUGGUGGUGGGGCAGUGACGGGAGACAGCAGCCCUCCCCUGGUGAGAGGACUGUCAUCGGUCACGUGGUGGGUGGGAAAGCCUGUGCUAAAAAGGAAGUCGGGGCAGGGCCCUGAGGAGUGCAAGGAUUUCAUUUUUUUUUUUAAUUGUUAUUUCCCCAAUACAGUUUUUUUUUUCCUACUGUACAGCAUGGUGACCCAGUUACACAUACAUGUAUACAUUCUUUUUUCUCACGUUGUCAUGCUCCGUAAUAAGUGACUGGACAUAGUUCCCAGUGCUACACAGCCGGAGGGAUUUCAUUUUAAAAAGGCGGUAGAAACAUGGGAUGAACUAACCAGGUAGAUAUCUGGGCAAGAGGAGAAGCCCUAAUACAGGAUGGUGCUUGGAACUGCAACGGAGGGCUCAGGGCUCGGGCUCUUGAUGAGCACAUCCACGUGGCGUAGACACAUACGUGUGUAAAGAGCGUGGGGAGAAGUGCUCCAAGAUUGCCCUGCUGAAACACAUUCUCCAGGCCAUAGCCCUCCUGUCCUCCACUGACAGUUCCCUCGGCAGUUCUUAAACUUGCAUUUUGCAAGUUGAUGAUCGCAAGGGUGCUAGCUCACGUUUGUGGGGUGCCUCCUAGUCUGGGCACCGUGCUGAGAACUUUGUUGUUACUGCUGCACCUCACAUCAGCUCUGAGCCAGGAACGGUGCAUAGCCCCCUUCACAGAUGGCUCAGCCCACAGGGAGAUGAGGGAAUUGGCCAUAGUCACGGCCAGGAAUCCUUGGAACCCGUGUUCAACCCUGAACCCACGUUCAGACGUCAGUUUGCCACCAGAGCCCUGUCCUACCUGCUAGCAGGAGCUCUGCUCCCUUAGUCUUCCAUCCGGGGAGACGUCUCUGCCUGUGUCUGCCUCUUUCGUAUGUUACUGAAGGGGGAGAGUCUUUCACUUGAAAGCAUGCUCACCAAGAGUUUUAUCUUUAGUUUCUUCCCCAGGGAUCAAACUGAGCCACAGAAAUAACCUGAGCCCAUAGCGGUAUAGUGCUGAGUCCUUAACCUGCUGAGCCACCAGGGAACUCCAAUCUUGGUCUCUUUUUCAGGCACUAUUUUAAAUUUUCUCCGUUUAAAAUUAAACUCCCUGGGAGUUUCCAUCAUGACUCAGUGGUUAAGGAACCCAACUAUAUCCAUGAGGACUUGGGUUCCAUCCCUGGCUUCGCUCAGUGAGUUAAGAAUCCAGCAUUGCCAUGAGCUGUGGCGUAGGUCCUUUUUAUGAAGAUGUCUUUUUCAGUAAGUCCAUUUUAUAAUUUCAGUUUUUUAACUUUUGUAUUUUAAUAGCAAAAAUGUCUAGUUGUAGAAAAUUAGGAAUAUAAGAAUGAAGAGGGAUUGAGUUCCCGUUGUGAUGUAGCGGAAACGAAUCUGACCAGGAAUCAUGAGGUUGCGGGUUCGAUCCCUGACCCUGCUCAGUGGUUAAGGAUCUGGCAUUACCAUAAGCUGUGGUGUAGCUUGCAGACGUGACUCGGAUCUGCUGUGGCUGUGGCUGUCAGCUGCAGCUCUGAUUAGACCCCUAGCAUGGGGACCUCCAUAUACCACGAAUGUGGCCCU